GAAAGGAGUUAAAGAGCUUCCAGAAUGGGUUCUCCACCACUUCUACCUCACUCCUUUGGCCAAAUCAGGCCUUGAGAAGUUCAGCUGAGCAGGUAUGCUGGCACAUGUCUGUAAUCCUAGCACCUGGGAGGCUGAGGCAGGAGGAUUGCCACGAGUUCAAGGCCAGCCUGGGCUAUAUAGUAAGACACUAUCUCAAAAAACAACUACAAUGAAAAGUUUGGCCCAGAUUCAUGGGGUUGGGAGCUGGACUCCAUCUUUGGGUGGGAGGAACAAAGUCACUGCAAUGGGCAGGGAUGGGGAGAAGAAUUGGGGUCUUUUCUGCAGUCAGUCUAAUCCUGGUGCUUAGAUCAAAUCCCAUCGAGUCCUGUAUCUUCCUGGAGCUGAGACACUGUGCGUUUGAGGUUUGAGGAUUUGCUGAUUUUCGUAUGGAUUUGGGAAGGCCAGCGAUGGUGUCUUGUCUUUGUGUGGUCCAGUGGGUCCAUGCAUGGGGUCACAUCUACAGCUGGGCCUUGACCAGAUGUUAGAGCCCACCUCACAGUCAUUCUUUCUGCUGCUUAAAACCAAUAGAAACAGCCAAUAAAGACAGUGUCCCUAACACUCUAAUUAAAUAUAGCCUCCAGGACUGGUGAUUUAGCUCAGUGGUUCCAGCGCCUGCCUCCAAAGCGCAAGGUCCCGAGUUUGAUACCUGACACCAAAAAAACCCCCCAAACCCCCCCGAAAAACCCAGAUUCCAGCCCUUAAUGGUGGGACCGUGCUGAGAGAGCAUCAUUAGGUGAUUAUGCAGACCUCAGUGCACAAUCACCUAGGUCCUAUGGCACACACACACACGUGUACAUACAUGUGUGCACAUGCAUGUGUGAAUACAUAUGAUACAACCAAAUGCUGCUAGGUUCACAGUGGACAGAACAGCCUCAUAUUACCCACAGAUUAAGAGAAAAUGAUCAAUCAGGAGCUGCAGGAGGUACUGCCACAAGCCAAGGCAGACUUUCACAUGGGAAACCUUAAUAACUAUAAGAAUGCAUUCAAAAACAACAGUGAAUAUUGUGGUAUUAUAAAUACAUAAACCAAUAACAUUGCCAGGUCUGAUCACUGCCCAUGACCAUAAUGGUGCUGCAUGGCUGUAAGGGAUUGUAUCUUGCUGUCUUUUUAUGCACUUGGCAGCUCAGUGGGUUUGUGUACACCAGCGUCCCCACAGACAGAAGGUGUGGUGCUUUGACCUCACAGUGGCUUUGACCUCACCAGGUGAUGGGACUUUUUCAGCUCUAUUAUAGUCCUGUGGGACCACUGUCACACAUGCAGUCUACUGUUGACUGAGACAUUAUUAUGCAGUGCAUCACUGCAGGUUGAUUGUCAAAACAUUUUGAACAAUAUAUAAAAUUUGAAGGAAGGAAAUCAGAAUCCCUGGUAUUUUCAUGAUGUACUCAGAGGUUACUGGGGACCUGGGCCCAUAGCACCCACAGCAUAGAGGCAGAGUCCUGGGGUAGGGGAGAAGCAAACACCUGAGGGUGUCUGGCUUUAGCUUCCUCUGACCUUGAUUUCCCCAUCUGAAAAGCAGGUGCGGUCCUCCCCUGUGGAUGUGAUAACUUCCUGGCGUGUGCGGGAUGACGAGGGUGUGAAAAGUGGGUGCACCCUGCCCUGCUGAGUGCCUGCAUGUGAUGGCAGUCACAGGACAGGAUGGGCAUCACCACCCUGCUCCUUGCCCCUCCUGGCUGUGGCCAGCACUCUUGCAGGCACAGCACCCCUCAGGCAGCAGGACAGGGGGUGGCUCAGCUUGGGAUCUGUGCUCCUGGCAGAAGCAGAGAGCUCACUGCCAGCGAUGACCCAGCAGAGUUCCCUACAGAGGAAGGGAAAGUUCUCCAGGCCAGAGUUCCUCCUGCUGGCUAGCAAGGCCCCUGUGAUGCUGCACCUGCCUGGAUCAGUUGUGCCCAGCUACAGAAUAGCUCCAGUUUGGCCUCCGGUCACGGCUGGGACUUCGGUUAUCUGGUGAUGCUGUGAUUCUCCACAACAAGAAACAUCCUGGGAGAACAAACAUCUGCUCAGUUCCUCAUUGUUCUUGGACUGAUUAACAUCUUGUUUGCCAGAGAUGUACUGAACUCUCUGCAAGCUUUCUGUUACACCUUGUUUAUCCCAAUGUGAACUAUUGAACUCUCUGCAAGUCAUUUGUUACAUUUGUUUCUCCCGAUGUACUGAAUAAAAGGUGUGGUAAGCUGGGGGCUUUUGUCUUUGCCGCCUAGAGCAGCACUGAUCAGACCCAAAGCUCAGCUUCUCCUCAGUCUCAUUUUUCUACCUUUCCUGUAAUUCGCCGUGUGCUGCCAUGGCUCGCAGGAGACCAGGACUCACUGCACAGUUUCUGGUAAUGUCCCCUUCCCCUGUCCCCUACAGUAGAAAAGUCAAGCUCCCUUACCAUAUCUCUGCUGCCC
rnacentral:lncRNA from 1 species